rnacentral:rRNA from 1 species
GAUGAACGCUGGCGGCGUGCUUAACACAUGCAAGUCGAACGGAAAGGCCCUGCGUUUGCGGGGUUGUCGUUUGGCGAAGGGGUGAGUAAAACGUGAGUAACCUGCCCUUGACUUUGGGAGAACACUACGGAACUGGGGCGCAUAUCGGAUAGGAGCUUCUGAUGCAUGUGGGGGGUUGGAAAGUUUCGGUGUUGGUGGAUGGUCUCGCGGGUUAUGAGCUUGUUGGUGGGGUAGUGGCUUUCCACGGCUUUGAAGGGUAGCCGGCCUGAGAGGUUGACCGGCAACAUUGGGACUGAGGUACGGCCCAGACUCCUACGGGCGGCAGCAGUGGGGAAUAUUGCACAAUGGGCGGAAGCCUGAUGCAGCAACGCCGCGUGCGGGAUGACGGCCUUCGGGUUGUAAACCGCUUUCGCAGGUGACGAAGCGUGAGUGACGGUAAUGUGUAAAGAAGCACCGGCUAACUACGUG